UUCUGGGAAUGAAAAAGACAAGCGUAUAAAAAAAUUAAUUACAUCUUGUUAUAUGUCAGAAAUCAGUAGAAAGGAAAGAUAGAGCUGGACACCCACUGAGUCACAAUCAUGGUAUGGCAAGCAUUUUGAUAAGAGAGAAUAUUAUACGUCACAUUGUCACCACCGUUCUGUCAGUCAUUGGUGACUAUGGCCAUAUGAGGCCCGGAAUCAUGCACAGCUGCUCAGCACAGCAUCCAAACCAAAGAACAGAGCAAGAUCUUGUGUUUGACCCGUUAUUUUAAAAAUCCAAAAUAAUAUUUUCCUUUCAUAGUGCAGAAAUGGGUUGAAUUUUUUACUUUGUAGCUUUGGAUUUUGUGUUCAAAAUUUAAAGAUGACACAACCUGUCAUCUCUUAUUUAUGCUCUUAUUUCUCAAAAAUUGGUUACUGGUAGGCUGAAAUAUGUUUUUGGAUAUAUCUGAAAAAUAUUCUCUUCUACUUGCAAAAUGGCAAGCCUCUCUUACAAGCCUAUGAAAGAGUAGUUAAGGGAGAGUUCGUGAGUGUUAGUUUUACGUAGCUGUCACUCCUUUGGGCCCAUAAUUGAGAUUAAAUGACAGGUAUGGGAUUUUCAUCAGAAGAAAUCCCUGGAAGUUUGAUGAAAAACAGGGAAAAAAACCCUGAAUUAAUUUACACAGCCUAACAUAUGAUCAUAAUUUUGGGGGGAUGUGUCUUGCUGUUGGUAAAAUUUAGAAAAAUCCACACAUAUUAUUUUAACUGAAGUAUAGUCUCAUGAAAUGUAUGUGGUUGUGUGGUUAAGUGUUUAUGGGAACUUCUCAGUUUCUGCUGUUCGGCCUGCUUUCAAAAUAUUCAAAUAUAUUUGGCUUUUGUAACUUCGCUAAUUAAACCUUCUAAAACAGAUGGAAUUAUAGAAAUUACAGGGUUUAAAAUAUCAUUUUAAUUGGUUUACGAUCUAUGUGACACAUAGUGCCAUUCAUACUGUAUAAAAUAUAUACGGAUGACUCGAAAGAGAUAGCAUACCAAUUAAUUUUUCUUUAACUCUCAAUUAAAUCAUGUUGUCUUCCUUAUUUAAUCCCCUUUCCAUUAGCCUGGCUCCAAGCUGGUCUGAUCAACCUUAACUGAAGAUACAGGUUGUAUCCUGCAACAGUAUCGGUUUGGGCCCUCAUGGGUGACAGAAAAGUAUCACAGUACUGGUUCCUGUUUGAACACACAUGUUCUCUGGGUCUCGCCUUGCAGCGGGAGGAAAGAAGAGGAUGGAAUCACCACACUCCCACAGCAAGCAAGGGCAAUCUUUAAAGGCAGUAAGGUGUGACGCUCCAGACUGGCAGCUUGGCAAGACGGAGCCCAUGGAUACCAGCACACGGGAAUCUGGACCGUUCACUCUGACAGCAGUCAGCACUGGGAACAAAAGGAAUGGAGGGAAAAAAGCGCAAAUGUAUUUUUACAUAUUGUAGGCAUAUGGCCACAAGACCAGCAGAAAUAUAUUUAAUUACCAAUUGCGCGUAUUGAGGAGAAAAACACUGGGAAGGAAAAAAAAAACCUGUGUACACAGCAAUAUUAUUCUACUUUAACUUUUCACCUCCUUUUUUUUUUUAAAUUGAAGAUACAAGAGAUGUGGAUUAGAAUCAAAAAGUGUUAUCUGCUGGAAUCCUAUCAAAGAGCAACCUCCAGCUGUCUGCCUCCUGUCUGUUCAGAAGCUUUUGGUGAUGAAGGUGGAGCCCAUAAGAAGGAAACUGAUGCAUGCACUCACCAGUGCAGGAAGGUGAUAUACAGGUCAACUCAUUCCACAGCAUUGAUCCCCUGUGAGGUCCCAGGCUCAGAGAUGGGUGCUUGCUUGGUAAGGUGAGAAAGAAAUGUGCUGGAUAUGGGGAAAUUCAGAGUGUGGGUGCACUUGUGAAAGGCAGGGGACUUUGGUGGCUCCGAAUAAUACUUGAUAUGUAUUCUACUCAUUAGUAAUUAUCAUAUGGCUGAGCUACAGAUAUGUGGGCUUAGUUGGAAUCUUGUACGUAGGCUUCAAUAAUGUCACUUCAGACAUUCAUUGAUUCUAAGGGACAAGACUUUUGAACACCCCUUAGGAUCUCAUUGCAUGGUUACCAGGUCUCAUUAUUAUAAAGGAGUUAUUUCUUUUUUACAUAUACCUUCCCCUUAGCCAAUAAAAACUAUUUUAGUAUUUCUGUCUUUGAGCUGGACAAAGUUCGUCUCUCUGGUCUCCCUUAAAAACACCUAGAACAGGACCUCUUUCUGAAGUCUGUAAAGCGUUCAGAGUGGAAUGCAAUGGUAAGCUCUGCAUCCAGGAACCCUGGCCAGCUGCCCAAGGUUGGUGACCUAGCCACCGCAGCCAUCUAGGCUGAUUGUCAGUCACCCCGGUGACCUGACAAAUACUUCUGCCAAAUGGAGAUAUUUGAAUCUGGUUAGAAGCUGAAGAUUCAUUCAGUCAUUGUUCAAGAUUAACAAAGACAAUGGUGAGCAGAAUCCACGAGUCAUGAGAAACCUGAGGCAGAGACUACAAGGAAAGUCUGUUGGAAGUGGAGUCAUCUUAGCAAAUACAGAGCAGCUGUGUGGCCAUAAUGGCGGGUCACUGGAAUGAACAGCGAUGUUCACUUGCCAUGGAGAGGAAAGGGAAACCAAGUGACUCAACCUGGCUAGUGUCUUAAAAGCUGAUCCAGGGUCCAUGAGUGUAACUAGGAAGCUGUUUCCUGCAUUCUUCAGUUCCCGCAUUCAGCCUUUUAAGAAGCCCUGUUAAUUGAAGUAAACUGAGUGACCCUCAUCUAUGUGAAAGAGCUAACAUAUCUUUUAUAUGCUUGAAAUCAUUUCUCACCUUUCUCAGAUUAAGGCUAAAAAAUUUAAUUUCUAUUAGUAUUUUUUAUUCUCACAAAUUUUUUUGAUAAGUUUUCAUUAGCCAUGCUCUUUCUCAUCCUGUCAUUUGCCUUUUGGAACUGUUAUAUUUUUUUUUUAUUUUUUAAAAUGUUUUCACUUUUAUUGAGGUAUAAUUGUCAAAUAAAAUUGCGAGAUACUGAUGUGAUGAUUUUAUAUACGUAUACGUUGUGUAUACCAACAAUUUUCUUUUAAGUAAACGCUAUGCCCAAUGUGGGGCUCGAACUAACUACCCCGAGAUCUAGUUGCAUGUUCUACAGUCUGAGCCAGCCAGGUGCCCCUUUAUAAUUUUUUUUAAAGGUUUUAUUUAUUUAUUUGACAGA